UACGUAGGGGGCAAGCGUUGUCCGGAUUUAUUGGGCGUAAAGAGCGUGUAGGCGGCUUGGUAGGUCCGCUGUGAAAACUCGAGGCUCAACCUCGAGAUGUCGGCGGAAACCACUUGGCUAGAGUCCGGAAGAGGAGAGUGGAAUUCCUGGUGUAGCGGUGAAAUGCGCAGAUAUCAGGAAGAACACCUAUGGCGAAGGCAGCUCUCUGGGACGGUACUGACGCUGAGGCGCGAAAGCUAGGGGAGCAAACGGG
rnacentral:rRNA from 1 species